rnacentral:rRNA from 1 species
GAUGAACGCUGGCGGCGUGCUUAACACAUGCAAGUCGAACGAAGCACCUUGAUUCGAUUCUUCGGAUGAAGAUCUUGGUGACUGAGUGGCGGACGGGUGAGUAACGCGUGGGUAACCUGCCUCAUACAGGGGGAUAACAGUUAGAAAUGACUGCUAAUACCGCAUAAGACCACAGCACCGCAUGGUGCAGGGGUAAAAACUCCGGUGGUAUGAGAUGGACCCGCGUCUGAUUAGGUAGUUGGUGGGGUAACGGCCUACCAAGCCGACGAUCAGUAGCCGACCAGAGAGGGUGACCGGCCACAUUGGGACUGAGACACGGCCCAAACUCCUACGGGAGGCAGCAGUGGGGAAUAUUGCACAAUGGGGGAAACCCUGAUGCAGCGACGCCGCGUGAGCGAUGAAGUAUUUCGGUAUGUAAAGCUCUAUCAGCAGGGAAGAAAAUGACGGUACCUGACGAAGAAGCACCGGCUAAAUACGUG